GACGAACGCUGGCGGCGUGCCUAAUACAUGCAAGUUGAGCGCUGAAGGUUGGUACUUGUACCGACUGGAUGAGCAGCGAACGGGUGAGUAACGCGUGGGGAAUCUGCCUUUGAGCGGGGGACAACAUUUGGAAACGAAUGCUAAUACCGCAUAAAAACUUUAAACACAAGUUUUAAGUUUGAAAGAUGCAAUUGCAUCACUCAAAGAUGAUCCCGCGUUGUAUUAGCUAGUUGGUGAGGUAAAGGCUCACCAAGGCGAUGAUACAUAGCCGACCUGAGAGGGUGGUCGGCCACAUUGGGACUGAGACACGGCCCAAACUCCUACGGGAGGCAGCAGUAGGGAAUCUUCGGCAAUGGACGAAAGGCUGACCGAGCAACGCCGCGUGAGUGAAGAAGGUUUUCGGAUCGUAAAACUCUGUUGGUAGAGAAGAACGUUGGUGAGAGUGGAAAGCUCAUCAAGUGACGGUAACUACCCAGAAAGGGACGGCUAACUACGUG
rnacentral:rRNA from 1 species